rnacentral:rRNA from 1 species
UACGUAGGGCGCAAGCGUUGUCCGGAAUUAUUGGGCGUAAAGAGCUCGUAGGCGGUUUGUCGCGUCUGCUGUGAAAACCUAAGGCUCAACCUUGGGCUUGCAGUGGGUACGGGCAGACUAGAGUGCGGUAGGGGUGACUGGAAUUCCUGGUGUAGCGGUGAAAUGCGCAGAUAUCAGGAGGAACACCGGUGGCGAAGGCGGGUCUCUGGGCCGACACUGACGCUGAGGAGCGAAAGCGUGGGGAGCGAACAGG